CUGUAAUCUGUGACGCAAGUGUCCUAAUAUGUUUGUGACGUUCCACGGAACCCACGUUAUUGUUUUAAACUCGAUUCUGAUUGGCUUGCAGGACAUUCAACUAUGUGAGUUAUACAUUUUGAAUGUGCUUUUACGUCAGUGUGACAGAUUCACAAUACCGAGCGUUUCUCAAACGGUCCUGCGGUUUUAUCUGCCUAACGGUAUCUUCACGCACGACUGGAUAGGCCUUUUGGAUACGCUUGUCCAAGGCCCAAGACAUAAAGUAGCCUGCAAUCAUUCCAUUGCUGACCCAUCGGAUGGUUAUCACAUAGAGGAUUGGCUUAAUCUAGAAUCAUGGAUACCUUUCAUGUGAGUACUCACACACCAGAUUUUUUACAUACCUCAGAAGGACCAACUGGGAUUGCAAUAUCUGGAAGCACUGUCUCAUGUACAAUUGUUCAUGUUAUCUCUGAAAUGUCUAACAAAAUGUUGACUUGACCGUUUCAUCAAGAUCUGCGCAUCACAAGUUGGAACUAGUGGUCAAAAUUGGGACAAUGUUGCCCAAAAUAAAUGUUUUCAUGGAGUGAACAAGACCUGCCAACAGAGCUCACUGGAGCAGGGAGACAUCCCGUCAUCCCUUCGGCACCUGACAAAGUACACAUUUUUCUUCUAAAUAACACUAUAGUAACAUCUUCUGCACAAAGGUACAUUCCUAAUAAGAUUGGUGUUAAGUGAGAAAGAAUCCUAAAGAUGGUCCAAUGGGCAUUGUCUGAAGCCUCUCAUCA